rnacentral:misc_RNA from 1 species
UACGGAGGGUGCAAGCGUUAAUCGGAAUUACUGGGCGUAAAGCGCGCGUAGGUGGUCAAGUCAGUCAGAUGUGAAAGCCCAGGGCUUAACCUUGGAAUUGCAUCUGAUACUGCUUGACUAGAGUAUGGUAGAGGGGUGUGGAAUUUCCUGUGUAGCGGUGAAAUGCGUAGAUAUAGGAAGGAACACCAGUGGCGAAGGCGACACCCUGGACCAAUACUGACACUGAGGUGCGAAAGCGUGGGUAGCAAACAGG